rnacentral:rRNA from 1 species
UACGAAGGGGGCUAGCGUUGCUCGGAAUUACUGGGCGUAAAGCGCACGUAGGCGGCUUUCUAAGUCGGGGGUGAAAUCCUGGAGCUCAACUCCAGAACUGCCUUUCGAUACUGGAAAGCUCGAGUCCGGGAGAGGUGAGUGGAACUGCGAGUGUAGAGGUGAAAUUCGUAGAUAUUCGCAAGAACACCAGUGGCGAAGGCGGCUCACUGGCCCGGUACUGACGCUGAGGUGCGAAAGCGUGGGGAGCAAACAGG